AUUGAACGCUGGCGGCAGGCCUAACACAUGCAAGUCGAACGAGUGGCGGACGGGUGAGUAAUGUCUGGGAAACUGCCCGAUGGAGGGGGAUAACUACUGGAAACGGUAGCUAAUACCGCAUACCAUCGGAUGUGCCCAGAUGGGAUUAGCUAGUAGGUGGGGUAACGGCUCACCUAGGCGACGAUCCCUAGCUGGUCUGAGAGGAUGCCCGUCCCAACUGGGACUGAUACCCGGUCCAGGCCCCUACGGGAGGCCGUAGUGGGGAAGAUUUCACAAUGGGCGCAAGGCCUAUACAGCCAUGCCGCGUGUAUGAAGAAGGCCCUCGGGUUGGAAAGGACUUUCAGCGAGGAGGCGGUACCCCCAGAAGAAGCACCGGCUUACUCCGUGCCAGCCGCCGCGGUAAUAC
rnacentral:rRNA from 1 species